UACGAAGGGUGCAAACGUUGCUCGGAAUCAUUGGGCGUAAAGCGCACGUAGGCGGCUUCAAAAGUCGGAUGUGAAAUCCCGUGGCUCAACCAUGGACGUGCAUUCGAAACUGCGAAGCUUGAGUAUGGAAGAGGGUCGCGGAAUUCCCGGUGUAGAGGUGAAAUUCGUAGAUAUCGGGAGGAACACCGGUGGCGAAGGCGGCGAUCUGGGUCGAUACUUACGCUGAGGUGCGAAAGCGUGGGGAGCAAACAGG
rnacentral:rRNA from 1 species